rnacentral:rRNA from 1 species
GACGAACGCUGGCGGCGUGCCUAAUACAUGCAAGUCGAGCGGACGAUUCGAAAGCUUGCUUUUGAAUCGUUAGCGGCGGUCGGGUGAGUAACACGUGGGCAACCUGCCCUGUAGACGGGGAUAACACCGAGAAAUCGGUGCUAAUACCGGAUAACACGAAAUGUCGCAUGACGUUUCGUUGAAAGGCGGCGCAAGCUGCCGCUACAGGAUGGGCCCGCGGCGCAUUAGCUAGUUGGUGAGGUAACGGCUCACCAAGGCGACGAUGCGUAGCCGACCUGAGAGGGUGAUCGGCCACACUGGGACUGAGACACGGCCCAGACUCCUACGGGAGGCAGCAGUAGGGAAUCUUCCGCAAUGGACGAAAGUCUGACGGAGCAACGCCGCGUGAGCGAAGAAGGCCUUCGGGUCGUAAAGCUCUGUUGUUAGGGAAGAACAAGUAACGUAGUAACUGACGUUACUAUGACGGUACCUAACGAGAAAGCCACGGCUAACUACGUG